CCAACGGCUCUUUUAAGAGCCACCCAAGAUUUCACAAUUAGGGCUG
rfam:Calypte anna contig3937, whole genome shotgun sequence.